rnacentral:lncRNA from 1 species
AGAAAGGGAAGAUGUGUGGGGAAGAGGUGUGAGGAAGUGGUUAUUUGUGUAAAGGGAAGAAGAUGAGCAGAGCAGAAACGGGGCCAAAGAAAGACGACCCAAGAAGUCAAGAAGGACCAGGAGAAUGAAGUGUCAGGAAGCUGUGGGAGAAUAGAGAAGUAAAGAGGCUGGGGUCAAAAGCCACAGGAGACUUCUGCUGAGAAGAAAGAGGGGAAAAUGGAGAGGCUGAAGACACAGAGGAGAGGAGCUGGCCUGAGGUGGCUGAAGGUAUAGCAUCCCAGAAGAGAGGCUGGACUGGAAAGCAGGAGGGACACCCCACCAGCAGAAGGAGUUUUCCACUACAGCAGCCAGAAAGGUAUGGGUUUAUCUGUAUAACUCAAGCCAGAGU